UAGGGAAUCUUCCACAAUGGACGCAAGUCUGAUGGAGCAACGCCGCGUGAGUGAAGAAGGUUUUCGGAUCGUAAAGCUCUGUUGUUGGUGAAGAAGGAUAGAGGCAGUAACUGGUCUUUAUUUGACGGUAAUCAACCAGAAAGUCACGGCUAACUACGUGCCAGCAGCCGCGGUAAUACGUAGGUGGCAAGCGUUGUCCGGAUUUAUUGGGCGUAAAGCGAGCGCAGGCGGAAUGAUAAGUCUGAUGUGAAAGCCCACGGCUCAACCGUGGAACUGCAUCGGAAACUGUCAUUCUUGAGUGCAGAAGAGGAGAGUGGGAUUCCAUGUGUAGCGGUGGAAUGCGUAGAUAUAUGGAAGAACACCAGUGGCGAAAGCGGCUCUCUGGUCUGCAACUGACGCUGAGUCUCGAAAGCAUGGGUAGCGAACAGG
rnacentral:rRNA from 1 species